CCAAUAGCGUAUAUUAAAGUUGCUGCAGUUAAAAAGCUUGUAGUUGAAUUUCGGGACUAAUAUGUCAGUCGUGCCUCGGUACGUACUGGUAUCGUUGGUUUCUCCCUUCUGACGAACCAUGAUGUCAUUUAUUUGGUGUCGUGGGAAAUCAGGACUGUUACUUUGAAAAAAUUAGAGUGUUUAAAGCAGGCUCACGCUUG
rnacentral:rRNA from 1 species